CUGCAUUUCCCUUUUUGUGCUAUAAAUGCAUGCCUAUUGCCUACAUAAAUGGCUGGCAACAUGGGGGACAAACAGAAUAACAUCCAAGUGAGCAAUAGAGCUGUGU